rnacentral:lncRNA from 1 species
AUAAUUUUAGGUGUCAUUUUGAUAUCGAUUUAUCAAACUUAACAAUAAUUUCUUUUAUUGUCUUGUCAUUUUCAUCUAUUAACAAAAUUUAAAUAAAAAAUAAAAAUUUAAAAAAAUUAUAAAAAAUAAAAAUUAAAUAUUAUUUUUAGUCUCUUAACUUUAUUUUUGGAUUCAAUUUGAUCUCUUAAAUUUUAAAAAGACUGAAUUGAUCCUUUAACUCUUAAAAUAGGGCCAAG